rnacentral:rRNA from 1 species
CGCUUGGGGACGACCCCGUCGACGGUGGGGCGGAUGAUUGGGGUGAAGUCGUAACAAGGUAGCCGUAUCGGAAGGUGCGGCUGGAUCACCUCCUUU